AUGAGCCAGGAGUUUGAUGAUCAUCUGAAGAAUCGUGGAAUAGUUCCACAACUGACUCCUCCGGGUACGCCACAGAGAAAUGGUGUGUCAGAACGGAGGAAUCGGACCCUGUUGGACAUGGUCCGAUCGAUGAUGAGUCAGUCGGAUUUACCCUUGUCAUUUUGGGGAUACGCUCUAGAAACUGCAGCUUUCACACUAAAUAGGGUACCUUCUAAGUCUGUAGAUAAGACACCAUAUGAGAUAUGGACUGCGAAGAGUCACAGUUUGUCUUUUCUGAAAAUUUGGGGAUGUGAAGCAUAUGUCAAGCGACUCCAGUCGGAUAAGCUCACACCCAAAUCGGACAAGUGCAUAUUCGUGGGAUAUCCAAGGGAAACCUUGGGAUAUUACUUCUACAACCGUGAAGAGGGCAAAGUGUUUGUCGCUCGACAUGGAGUUUUCCUUGAGAAAGAGUUUCUCAAUCAGAAGGCUAGUGGGAGGACGGUCCGACUAGAAGAAAUUCGAGAACCACACGGGGACGUUCCGGUAGGUGAUACUGUCACACCGGAGUUAGUUAGGGAACCCGUAGUGGAGUCGACACCGGUUCCACGGAGGUCGGAAAGGUUA
rnacentral:rRNA from 1 species